CAUCCUCUUGCCCAAAUUCAUUUCCUGAGGCACAUUAGUUUGGGGGGAGGGGCGUGCCUAUUGUGGUAUGUAAGUGACUCAGGAAGAGAGAACUGAUGGGCCUAGCAUUAUGCAAACUCCCCAACCUACACCCCUAAGCCAUCUCUCCCACCCAUGAACCUCCUUGAGAAACUGAAGCUCAAGAUAAGAAGAGGCCAAUUUCCUUUUUGUUGCCUCUGAGAAGCCACCAGGCUGCGUGAGAAGCCAGGACUUUUCAUCUUGCUGGGUUCUGGCCACCUGGAUCUCAGCACUAUGUCCAGCAGGUACCUGCUCCUCAUCUCAGGUCUCAGCAUCCUGCUGGCACUAUCAGGAGGAGGUAAGUCUACUCAUGGCCAAAGGCCAAGGGGAAAAAA